rfam:Triticum aestivum genome assembly, contig: Triticum_aestivum_CS42_TGACv1_scaffold_486215_6AS
AUUAUACUCCCUCCAUUCGGAAAUACUUGUCCUUGAAAUGGUUGUAUCUAGACUUAUUUCAGUUAUAGAUACAUCCAUUUUAUCCAUUUUUAGGACAAGUAUUUCCGGACGAAGGGAGUAUGAG